CACUCUAAUGAGACUGCCGGUGACAAAACCGGACGGGAAGGUAGGGGAGUGACGUCAAGUCCUCAUGGCCCUUAUGGGUAGGGCUUCACACGUCAUACAAUGGUCGGUACAGAGGGCUGCCAACCCGCAAGGGGGGAGCCAAUCCCUUAAAACCGAUCGUAGUCCGGAUUGAGGUCUGCAACUCGACCUCAUGAAGUCGGAAUCGCUAGUAAUCGCGGAUCAGCAUGUCGCGGUGAAUACGUUCCCGGGGCUU
rnacentral:rRNA from 1 species